GCAAUUAAAUUACACUAAAAUAGUGUUACACCACUAAAAAUGGGACUUCCGCAUGAAGUUUGGACUUGAUAUGCAACAAUGCAGUGGAUCUGUAGAUGUAUGAAAAACAAUGAAGUAGAUGCCAGCUUUGAAAGAUUAUUACUAUAGACAAAUAAUGGAAAGCACCAUAGAAGUACUGAGAUAUGGUAUGGAUUCAAAUGACAUUCCCACUCAUUUGAUGGCUUUUAAAAUCACAUUCAAAAUACGAUUUCACUUAAACUAAAGUAAUACAAUUCCUAUUUCUUAUAUAGGGUGGGAGAAACAAUAGUAGACAGGCAUCAACUAAGACAUCAGAUGUGAAUUGACGGGAACCUCAAAAUUAAGUAACAAAACAAAGGACACCUCAUCCAUCCUCCAAACACCUCAUCCUAUCAAGCUAUGAUUAAUAGUCUUUACAUAUAAAUCAAACAUUGGAAAGAAAUAUCCCACAUUUUCAGAACAAUUUGUCCAACUCUACAAUUUCUAACAACUCCACCGUACAUCUCCAUGCUAUCUUAGUUUCGGUAUCCCACAUGAUCAAAAUGCACAAAAACAUUGGCGAACUGCGCCAAAAUUAAAACAACCUACUUAUAAACAAUAUCAACAUUAUCACACUCACCGCUACAAAUUAGUUGGUGUUGCAGCCGCAGAUCGUGCUAUUGGAACCCCCUUUCGGCUUUUAAACAAUCAUCCACUCUUCAGUUUUCUGCAGCAACAAGUAUGGUUAUCAUGAACAAGAUUCAGCCNNNNNNNNNNNNNNNNNNNNNNNNNNNNNNNNNNNNNNNNNNNNNNNNNNNNNNNNACAGAUAUAUAGUCAAAUUGAAAUCCUAUAAUAGAACAACAAUUGAAGUGUUUAAUGAAAACACCAAGUAUUUGUGACAAUUUGAAAGCAAAACAAGGGACAUAUCAUUUAUUUUAUAGCAUAAACGUUUUUCAUAUAAGUAUUUAUAGCAUUUUCCAUUCUUUUUAUAAUAGAAGAUAAAAUCAAGUCAAACUGGCUAUACGUUGUUUUUAUCAUAAGCUAUACUGGAGAGCUUAUGAAAAUAAGCUGAAAACAGAUUAUGGACAUGUCAUAAGUUGUUUUCAUAAGUUCUCCCAAACAAUCUCACAAGUGCUUAUGCCAAAUAUGUCGUACCCGUAUCGGCUACAGGUAAGUAUAUAAUAAUAGUUUAUAUAAAGAGAUAUCAAAUUGAAAGUUGAAACAAAAACCUGUACCAAACAGAAACAGAAAUAAUCGCAUUUCUUUGAAUGAGGUUAAGGUUCGUCGCUUUCUUGGAAAGAAUUGCGUCUCUUCAUCUUUCUCUCUCAAGGUGUUCGUGAGUUUGUGAGCACAAACACGCACGUGUUGUUUUUUUGUUUUGUGAGCGGAAUCAAUUUCUGAGUUUAGGGAGGAUCGAUUUGGACAAGGAGAACAAAUUUGGGGAUGAAUCAACUUCUUUAUAAAACACUUUCUACUUUCUUAACUUCGUUAGUUNNNNN
rnacentral:lncRNA from 1 species